UACGGAGGGGGCUAGCGUUGUUCGGAAUUACUGGGCGUAAAGCGCGCGUAGGCGGACCUGCAAGUCGGGGGUGAAAGCCCGAGGCUCAACCUCGGAACUGCCUUCGAUACUGCGGGUCUCGAGUCCGGGAGAGGUGAGUGGAAUUCCUAGUGUAGAGGUGAAAUUCGUAGAUAUUAGGAAGAACACCAGUGGCGAAGGCGGCUCAGCUGGCCCGGUACUGACGCUGAGGCGACGAAGCGUGGGGAGCAAACAGGAUUGAGAA
rnacentral:rRNA from 1 species